AUAACCAAAUUGUAUCAUCCAUUAGUAUUGAGAUAUCUCAUGAUGAGUACGCAUUACUGGGCUCCUGCCAAUUACUCACAAGAACAGCUUGAAUUUGCAUCUGAGUCUAUUUUCUACUUGUAUAAGACUUCACUGGACUGUGAAAAGGCCUUAUUUUCAUUUCGAGAGAAAAACCCCGUGAUAGCAAAGUGCUAAAAUAUUCGACUAACUCUUGAGGCUCAGAAGUGCAUCGAUAAAUUAAUGAAUGAUUUCUACGCUAAAAUGUCAGAUGAUCUCCGCACUCGAGACUUCUGGAAUGCUGCUGCUCUUGAGGAUAUUUGAAGCUCACCGACCAGCUCAAGAGGACUUUGCUGGAUUGUGAAGAGGCCUUAUUUCAUUUCGAGAGAAAAAUCCCCUGGUACUGAAGUGCAUAACUGUUCGACUAACUCCUGAGGCUCAAAGUGCAUGUAUAUAUUAAAGAAUGAUUUCUACGCUACAAUGUUAGAUGAUCUCCAUACUCGAGACUUCUUGAAUGCUGUCGCUUCAAGGAAAUUAUGAAGCUCAUGAACCAGCUCAAGAAGGAAUUCCUUUUCUGAAACUUUUGAAGUGAUUUCUGGGAAAGUCUUGUGCAUUUCCCGGCAGAGCAGCACCAGCUUUCAUUGUUCCUGUCCCUUGCUGAAAUGGAGAAAGAAGUGAAGCUGGUUUUAUUUACUCUUGGACUAAUGUCAUUUUUAUCCUAUUCAGAGUUCUGAGGCAAUUCAAAGGAUUCGACAGAGAGCAAAGUUGACUGAGGAAGAUGUUUCGUAACAAAUAAACUUAGGACCCAGGCAAAGAAAGACAAGGAAUUUUCGAAGAGUGACCAAAUCAGGCUUGACUUGACCGUAAAGGGCAUUUUUCUUAUGGAUUUGGAUGACAAAACUCUAUGGAGACCUGAAAUAAACAAAGUCCUCAAAGGAGAAGCAAAUUGUUUGUUUUUGAUGUAUACUUCUCUCGAGUUGAAUCAAUUUUUAGUGUGAUAUCAUUAGGUAGCAGAUAGAACAUUAACUCAAACCAGGGUUAUUAUUUGUUUGCCUUAU